CUAUAGCAAGGCGGGAGAACCCUUUCGUAAGUGCACCGUGCAAAACCAUUAUACACAGUGACUUUUUGAUACAGAAUUCUUGCUUUGGUUUGGCCUAGAGAUAGGUUGGGCCAGAGGUUUAACAAAACACAAUUUAAUUAUUUUUAUUGAUAGUCAAAUUUUGAAUUAAUCUUCAAAACUUUCAACAACGGAUCUCUUGGUUCUCGCAUCGAUGAAGAACGCAGCGAAAUGCGAUAAGUAAUAUGAAUUGCAGAUUUUCGUGAAUCAUCGAAUCUUUGAACGCACAUUGCGCCCUCUGGUAUUCCAGAGGGCAUGCCUGUUUGAGCGUCAUUUCUCUCUCAAACCCCCGGGUUUGGUAUUGAGUGAUACUCUUAGUUGAACUAGGCGUUUGCUUGAAAAGUAUUGGCAUGGGUAGUACUGGAUAGUGCUGUCGACCUCUCAAUGUAUUAGGUUUAUCCAACUCGUUGAAUGGUGUGGCGGGAUAUUUCUGGUAUUGUUGGCCCGGCCUUACAACAACCAAACAAGUUUGACCUCAAAUCAGGUAGGAAUACCCGCUGAACUUAAGCAUAUCAAUAGGCGGAAGGAACGCAUUCGUAGAUUGAACAUGCCGGAGGAUUAAAUAACUAAAGAAAAGCAAUCCCU
rnacentral:rRNA from 1 species